UACGUAGGGGGCUAGCGUUGUCCGGAAUCAUUGGGCGUAAAGAGCGUGUAGGCGGCUCGGUAAGUCCGCUGUGAAAGUCCAGGGCUCAACCCUGGAAUGCCGGUGGAAACUGUCGAGCUAGAGUCCGGAAGAGGCGAGUGGAAUUCCUGGUGUAGCGGUGAAAUGCGCAGAUAUCAGGAGGAACACCGAUGGCGAAGGCGGCAUCCUGGACCAACACUGACGCUGAGUGAGCGAAAGCCAGGGGAGCAAACGGG
rnacentral:rRNA from 1 species